rnacentral:rRNA from 1 species
GGUCCGGCUAAUUACGUGCCAGCAGCCGCGGUAAUACGUAAGGACCGAGCGUUGUCCGGAAUUAUUGGGCGUAAAGGGUACGUAGGCGGCUUUUUAAGUUUGACGUGAAAGCCCGGGGCUUAACUCCGGCAAGCGUUGAAAACUGGAGAGCUUGAGUGAUGGAAGGGACAGUGGAAUUCCUGGUGUAGUGGUGAAAUGCGCAGAGAUCAGGAAGAAUACCAGUGGCGAAGGCGACUGUCUGGACAUUAACUGACGCUGGGGUACGAAAGCGUGGGGAGCAAACAGGAUUAGAUACCCUGGUAGUCCACGCUGUAAACGAUGAGUGUUAGGUGUCUGGGAGAACCUGGGUGCCACAGCAAACGCAAUAAACACUCCGCCUGGGGAGUACGCACGCA